CACUAUGCUUAGCCGUAAACAUUGAUAGUGUUACACUCCACUAUCCGCCUGGGAACUACGAGCAAUAGCUUAAAACCCAAAGGACUUGGCGGUGCUUUACAUCCAUUUAGAGGAGCCUGUUCUAGAACCGAUAUUCCCCGUUAAACCUCACCUUUCCUAGUUUAACCCGCCUAUAUACCGCCGUCGCCAGCUUACCCUGUGAAGGUCUUAUAGUUAGCAAAGAUGACAAAUAAUCAAGAACGUCAGGUCGAGGUGUAGCGCAUGGAAAGGGAAGAAAUGGGCUACAUUCCCUAUCUUAGGGUAUACGGAUAAUACACUGAAACGUGUAUUUGAAGGAGGAUUUAAUAGUAAGUAGAAAUCAGAAUGUUCUACUGAAUCUGGCACUGAAGCGCGCACACACCGCCCGUCACUCUCCCCGAACUUAACCCACGAACCUUACCUAAACUGUUUUACAUGAAAAGGGGAGGCAAGUCGUAA
rnacentral:rRNA from 1 species